UCUCCUUUCCGGGUCUGUAUUUUUCGUGGUCGACGGGGAAGAAAGAAAUGAAUGAAUGUUCUGAGACCCGAGACCUUCAAAGGCCAGGAUUUUCUUCUUUUCCUCUUAAUUUGUUUAUAAUGGUUUUCAUUUUAUUUUCUGUUCAGUUUCUGGGAUUUUAAAUCUUUUUCGUUUUGUUUUUGAAAUUGGUAAAUAGAGUUCUGGUAAAUCUUCGGUGUUGGAAAGCGUGGUGGGCAGAGAUUUCUUGCCUCGUGGAUCUGGUAUUGUUACGAGGAGGCCACUGGUGUUGCAACUUCAUAAGAUAGAUGAUGGUCAGACUGAGUAUGCGGAGUUUCUUCAUGCUCCUAGAAAGAAGUAUACUGAUUUUGGUGAGUUAAUUUUCUUAUCUAGGAAUUUCUUCUCGAUUAAGACAUUUAUCAUUUAUUGAGGGUUUUUAUUCUAUUUGUUUAAAGAUAAUCUUUCUAUUGUAUUUUUUUCUUUUCUGCAGCUGCUAUGCGUAAGGAGAUCCAAGAUGAGACAGAUCGUAUUACUGGGAAAUCUAAGCAAAUAUCUAACAUUCCAAUUCAUCUGAGCAUAUAUUCUCCAAAUGCCUAACUCUAUCAUAUUGGCUAUAUCUCCUGCAAAUCAAGAUAUUGCCACAUCAGAUGCAAUCAAACUUGCAAGAGAAGUUGAUCCUUCAGGUGAAAGAACAUUUGGGGUGCUAACAAAACUUGAUUUAAUGGACAAAGGAACUCAAUGCCAAGCACACCAAGGU